rnacentral:pre_miRNA from 1 species
GAGACACCCUUCUGGGGCAAGACUUGCUUCAGUGAGGCUUUGGUGCUCACUGAGUCUGCCCCCUGUAUGUGUCCCU